AGUGAACGCUGGCGGUAGGCCUAACACAUGCCAGUCGAACGGCAGCACAGUAAGAGCUUGCUCUUACGGGUGGCGAGUGGCGGACGGGUGAGGAAUACAUCGGAAUCUACUUUUUCAUGGGGGAUAACGUAGGGAAACUUACGCUAAUACCGCAUACGACCUACGGGUGAAAGCAGGGGAUCUUCGGACCUUGCGCGAUUGAAUGAGCCGAUGUCGGAUUAGCUAGUUGGCGGGGUAAAGGCCCACCAAGGCGACGAUCCGUAGCUGGUCUGAGAGGAUGAUCAGCCACACUGGAACUGAGACACGGUCCAGACUCCUACGGGAGGCAGCAGUGGGGAAUAUUGGACAAUGGGCGCAAGCCUGAUCCAGCCAUACCGCGUGGGUGAAGAAGGCCUUCGGGUUGUAAAGCCCUUUUGUUGGGAAAGAAAAGCAGCAGGUUAAUACCCCGCUGUUCUGACGGUACCCAAAGAAUAAGCACCGGCUAACUUCGU
rnacentral:rRNA from 1 species